rnacentral:rRNA from 1 species
AAUCAACGCUGGCGGCGUGCCUCAGACAUGCAAGUCGAACGAUUAAGACUCCCUUCGGGGAGUGCAUAAAGUGGCGCACGGGUGAGUAGCACGUAAGUAAUCUACCUUCGAGUGGGGAAUAACAUCGGGAAACCGAUGCUAAUACCGCAUAACGCAGCGGCACCUAAUGGUGACAGUUGUUACAGGAGCAAUUCGCUUGAAGAGGAGCUUGCGGCAGAUUAGCUAGUCGGUAAGGUAAUGGCUUACCAAGGCUACGAUCUGUAUCCGGUCUAGGAGGACGGGCGGACACACUGACACUGAAUAACGGGUCAGACUCCUACGGGAGGCAGCAGUCGGGAAUUUUGGGCAAUGGGCGAAAGCCUGACCCAGCAACGCCGCGUGAAGGAUGAAGUUUUUCGGAAUGUAAACUUCGAAAGAAUGGGAAGAAUAAAUGACGGUACCAUUUAUAAGGUCCGGCUAACUACGUGCCAGCCGCCGCGGUAACAC